GACCCGAACUGACACGGUAUCGCAUCGGGCAUGCUCCGCUAGCCUCCAGCAGGAGAGGAUGGAUGGAUGGAUGGAUGGAUGGAUGGAUGGAUGGAUGGAUGGAUGGAUGGAUGGAUGGAUGGAACAGAGGAGCCAGCGACAAGCCGGAGCGCGCUGGCGGCUCAGCAGCAGCGCAGCCUCCUCGGGACAGCUUAGCCCUAAGCGGGGAGCCAGGAGGUGAAGAGGGAGCCGGGAUGGUGGUGGAAGGGAAGGAGUGAAGAGGAGAUAUUAAUGAAGUUCUUCUUCUGGUGAAGAUCUUGGGACCAGAGGCUGAGAACCAAGAGUGAGAGCUAAGGCAAAGUGCACUUUGAUGUUAUUGCCAGUGAAGACAAAUCAGGAGCAUCCCAAAUCAUCACAAUAAAGAGAAUUUCUCUAACAAGCA